UACAGAGGUCUCAAGCGUUGUUCGGAUUCAUUGGGCGUAAAGGGUGCGUAGGUGGCGCCGUAAGUCGGGUGUGAAAUUUCGGAGCUUAACUCCGAAACUGCAUUCGAUACUGCGGUGCUUGAGGACUGGAGAGGAGACUGGAAUUCAUGGUGUAGCAGUGAAAUGCGUAGAGAUCAUGAGGAAGACCAGUGGCGAAGGCGGAUCUCUGGGCCAUUACUGACGCUGAGGAGCGAAAGCGUGGGGAGCGAACAGG
rnacentral:rRNA from 1 species